CUUAGGCGUGUGACUGCGUACCUUUUGUAUAAUGGGUCAGCGACUUAUAUUCUGUAGCAAGGUUAACCGAAUAGGGGAGCCGAAGGGAAACCGAGUCUUAACUGGGCGUUAAGUUGCAGGGUAUAGACCCGAAACCCGGUGAUCUAGCCAUGGGCAGGUUGAAGGUUGGGUAACACUAACUGGAGGACCGAACCGACUAAUGUUGAAAAAUUAGCGGAUGACUUGUGGCUGGGGGUGAAAGGCCAAUCAAACCGGGAGAUAGCUGGUUCUCCCCGAAAGCUAUUUAGGUAGCGCCUCGUGAAUUCAUCUCCGGGGGUAGAGCACUGUUUCGGCAAGGGGGUCAUCCCGACUUACCAACCCGAUGCAAACUGCGAAUACCGGAGAAUGUUAUC
rnacentral:rRNA from 1 species